GAUGAACGCUGGCGGCGUGCCUAAUACAUGCAAGUCGAGCGAACAGAUGAGGAGCUUGCUCCUCUGACGUUAGCGGCGGACGGGUGAGUAACACGUGGAUAACCUACCUAUAAGACUGGGAUAACUUCGGGAAACCGGAGCUAAUACCGGAUAAUAUAUUGAACCGCAUGGUUCAAUAGUGAAAGACGGUUUUGCUGUCACUUAUAGAUGGAUCCGCGCCGCAUUAGCUAGUUGGUAAGGUAACGGCUUACCAAGGCAACGAUGCGUAGCCGACCUGAGAGGGUGAUCGGCCACACUGGAACUGAGACACGGUCCAGGCUCCUAAGAGAGGGAGCAGUAGGGAACCUUCGGCAAUGGGCGAAAGCCUGACGGAGCAACGCCGAGUGAGUGAUGAAGGUCUUCGGAUCGUAAAACUCUGUUAUUAGGGAAGAACAAUUGUGUAAGUAACUAUGCACGUCUUGACGGUACCUAAUCAGAAAGCCACGGCUAACUACGUG
rnacentral:rRNA from 1 species